CUAUUGCCAGUUACAAGUGUCUGGCGAGACUGCCGGUAUAAAACCGGAGGAAGGUGGGGAUGACGUCAAGUCAGCAUGGCCUUUAUAUCCAGGGCUACACACACGCUACAAUGGGCGGUACAAUGGGCAGCGAAGGGGCGACCUGGAGCGAAUCCCACCAAAGCCGUUCGUAGUUCAGAUUGCAGGCUGCAACCGGCCUGCAUGAAGCCGGAGUUGCUAGUAACCGCAGUCAGCCAUACUGCGGUGAAUACGUUCCCGGGCCUU
rnacentral:rRNA from 1 species